GCCCAUCUCCGUACAAACAGCCACCACCACAACCUCCGUCUACACCAUCAUCUUCCGAUAAACGGAUUGAGCAGCAACAAGCAGAGGAUUGGCCGACGCGGUUUCAACAUCCUCCUCCACAAUUCAGACGCGGUGAGUGUUAUUUUUUUCAUUUAAAAAUUUUCUAAGUAAUAUUUUUAGGGCAGGAUCCAAUGCCAGCCUCAAUAGAGCUCCAGCAUAAGACCGCCAAUCAAACGAUGCCAGUUGAUAUUGUACAGACGAAUCAGCAGAAAACUGUGUCAUCUUAUGAGAGGGCUGCACAGUUUAGAGGUUGGUUCAAGUCAUAAGCUCUACUUUAUGUUUUAUUCAAUUACUUUUUUCAGCUUCUGCAAGUGAACUACCAACGGACAGUGUCGAUGCAAAACACCCGUGUUUCGCUAACGAGCGUAUGCAAAGUGCUUUAAUCGG
rnacentral:sRNA from 1 species